UCAGGAGGACCGGUUUUGAUGACCUAGUCUGAUUACAGCAUCUUUGACAGCUUUAAAGGAAUUUGCCCUGGGGAAGAAGACAGCUGCUGCCCUGAUGAGGGAUUUUUCUGAGCAGGCCUCCCAAGCCAGACAUGUCAGUGUGAGAUGCUGCCUACAUUUUUCAUCCUGACCAGCAGGUUGUUAAACUACAAUCAAACGCACUUAGUACAAAUGGAACUGUCCCUGUCAUGAGAUUUGAACUCCUGACAUCUUUAUCCACUGAAACUUGAGUUCCCAGAGAUUUCCUGAAUAACUUCUGUGGAACACCUGCAGGACACAGCAGAGAGGGGAUUUUGGAAGCAUUUCACAAGGCCUGCAGCUGUGAGCUGGUUUCAGCAUGAGGAAAAGCCUUCCAUCACCCCAAUGC